GNNNGUCCGGAGUAACANGUACAAGGGNCAGNACGGGGUAUUUCAUAGUCAGAGGUGAAAUUCUUGGAUUUAUGAAAGACGAACUUCUGCGAAAGCAUUUGCCAAGGAUGUUUUCAUCNAUCAAGAACGAAAGUUGGGGGCUCGAAGACGAUNAGAUACCGUCGUAGUCUCAACCAUAAACGAUGCCGACCAGGGAUC
rnacentral:rRNA from 1 species